CAGAAACUUUGACAUCAUCAAGUGAUUUUAUUGGUGGCACGGUAGGUGCUGUUGUUUCGUUAGGGAUUGUAUGUGCUUCUGUUAUGGUGCUCGUGUUCUUCAGAAGAAGAAAAGGACAUAAUCAAACGGAAAAAAAUGAAAAAUCUUAUGAAAACACUGGCUUCCAGGAAAGGCAAAAGGAGGAUGAGUACGAAGAAGUUGGAAAUAAAUGUGGUA